AUUGAACGCUGGCGGCAGGCCUAACACAUGCAAGUCGAGCGGAAACGAGUUAUCUGAACCUUUCGGGGAACGAUAACGGCGUCGAGCGGCGGACGGGUGAGUAAUGCCUAGGAAAUUGCCCUGAUGUGGGGGAUAACCAUUGGAAACGAUGGCUAAUACCGCAUGAUGCCUACGGGCCAAAGAGGGGGACCUUCGGGCCUCUCGCGUCAGGAUAUGCCUAGGUGGGAUUAGCUAGUUGGUGAGGUAAGGGCUCACCAAGGCGACGAUCCCUAGCUGGUCUGAGAGGAUGAUCAGCCACACUGGAACUGAGACACGGUCCAGACUCCUACGGGAGGCAGCAGUGGGGAAUAUUGCACAAUGGGCGCAAGCCUGAUGCAGCCAUGCCGCGUGUAUGAAGAAGGCCUUCGGGUUGUAAAGUACUUUCAGUCGUGAGGAAGGCGGCGUCGUUAAUAGCGGCGUUGUUUGACGUUAGCGACAGAAGAAGCACCGGCUAACUCCGUGCCAGCAGCCGCGGUAAUACGGAGGGUGCGAGCGUUAAUCGGAAUUACUGGGCGUAAAGCGCAUGCAGGUGGUUUGUUAAGUCAGAUGUGAAAGCCCGGGGCUCAACCUCGGAAUAGCAUUUGAAACUGGCAGACUAGAGUACUGUAGAGGGGGGUAGAAUUUCAGGUGUAGCGGUGAAAUGCGUAGAGAUCUGAAGGAAUACCGGUGGCGAAGGCGGCCCCCUGGACAGAUACUGACACUCAGAUGCGAAAGCGUGGGGAGCAAACAGG
rnacentral:rRNA from 1 species